rnacentral:rRNA from 1 species
GGUUAAGUUACUACGGGCCCACGGUGGAUGCCUAGGCGCCAAGGGCCGAUGAAGGGCGUGGCAAGACUGCGAAAAGCCUCGGUGAGCUGUCUAGCAAGCGUAGCCGGGGAUUCCCGAAUGGGGUAACCCGUCCCAAUGAACUUGGGACAGCCCCGUCUGAACCCUUAGGGCGGGGCGGGUAAGCGAGAGAACUGAAACAUCUCAGUACCUCGAGGAAAAUAAAUCAACCGAGAUUCCCCUAGUAGUGGCGAACGAACGGGGAAGAGCCUAAACCUCUGGAGCUUAGUGGGCUGGAGCCCUAUGCUUCAGGGGGGUUGCAAGGCGUGUCAGGGGAAGCUCCAGCAACCCCGGGGAGUCAAAAACCUCUUCUUUAGCCGAAGGUCCCUGGAAAGGGCCGCCAGAGCGGGUGAGAGCCCCGUAGGCGAAAAGGAAGGGGCUCCCGAUGCGUUCUUGAGUACCACGGGACACGAGGAAUCCCGUGGGAAGCCGGGGGGACCACCCUCCAAGGCUAAAUACCCUUGGCGACCGAUAGCGUACCAGUACCGUGAGGGAAAGGUGAAAAGAACCCCGGGAGGGGAGUGAAAUAGAUCUGAAACCGUGGGCCUACAUACGGUCGGAGUCUCUCCUUUGGGAGGGAUGACGGCGUGCUUAUUGAAGAAUGAGCCGACGAGUUAAUCUCUGCGGCAAGGUUAACUCCGUGGACGGAGGGAGCCGAAGCGAAAGCGAGUCUGAACAGGGCGUCGGAGUCGCGGGGAUUAGACCCGAAACCGGGUGAGCUACCCAUGGCCAGGGUGAAGCUCGGAUAGCAUCCGAGUGAAGGCCCGAACUCGUGGUCGUUGCAAAGACCUGGGAUGAGCUGUGGGUAGAGGUGAAAUGCCAAACGAACCCGGAGAUAGCUGGUUCUCCCCGAAAUGCAUUGAGGUGCAGCCUCAAGGAUUGAAUGCUGGAGGUAGGGCUCUGGAUGGGCUAGGGGGCGUGAGCUUACCAAACCCAACCAAACCGCCAAUGCCAGUAUGUCUUACCUUGGGAGUGAGACAGUGGGGGAUAAGCUUCAUUGUCGAAAGGGAAACAGCCCAGACCACCGGCUAAGGCCCCCAAGUGCGGGCUAAGUGGUAAAGGAAGUGGGAUCGCCCAGACAGCCAGGAGGUUGGCUUAGAAGCAGCCACCCUUUAAAGAGUGCGUAAUAGCUCACUGGUCGAGGGGUCCUGCGCCGAAAAUCCAACGGGGCUCAAGCCCACCGCCGAAGCCGUGGCUCCGAGAGGCGAAAGCCAAUCGGGGGGUAGGGGAGCGUUCCCCGGGCGCCGAAGGCAGAUCGUGAGGUCUGCUGGAGCGCGGGGAAGUGAGAAUGUCGGCAUGAGUAGCGCAAACCAGGGUGAGAAUCCCUGGCACCGAAAGCCUAAGGUUUCCUACGCAACGUUGUUCGGCGUAGGGUUAGUCGGGCCUAAGCCGUAGCCGAAAGGCGAAGGCGAUGGACAACGGGUCAACAUUCCCGUACCGCCCUUAUCUCGCUUUAAAGCAAAGGGGGGACGCGGAAAGGUAGGCGGAGCGUGCCCAAUGGACAUGGUGCGUCUGCCCCUGUAGGCCAUGCCGGGAUAGGCAAAUCCGUUCCGGCGUUACGAGCUGAGGGGGGUGGAAACUUCGAGGUUAGCUCGGGGAAUUCCGUUGAACCUAUACCGCCAAGAAAAGCCUCGUUGCUAUGGGAUAUGGGCGCCCGUACCGCAAACCGACACAGGUAGGCAGGGGUAAAAGCCCCAAGGUGUUCGAGAGAACCCUCGUUAAGGAACUCGGCAAUCUAACCCCGUAACUUAGGAAGAAGGGGUGCCCUGGAGGUGAAAGGACUUGCUCCUGGAGCCUUUCGGGGUUGCAGAUAAUAGGGCCAAGCGACUGUUUAACAAAAACACAGGUCUCUGCUAAGGGGAAACCCUACGUAUAGGGGCUGACGCCUGCCCAGUGCCGGAAGGUUAAGGGGAGGGGUCAAUCCCGGUUUCGGCCGGGAGGAAGCUCUGAACUGAAGCCCCGGUGAACGGCGGCCGUAACUAUAACGGUCCUAAGGUACCGAAAUCCCUUGUCGGGUAAAUUCCGACCCGCAGGAAAGGCGUAACGACUUGGUCGCUGUCUCAACGAGGGACUCGGCGAAAUUGCAAGGCCCGUGAAGAUGCGGGUAACCCGCGACAGGACAAAAAGACCCCGUGGAGCUUUACUGCAUCCUGACAUUGGACUGGGGUCAGAGUUGUGUAGGAUAGGUGGGAGGCUUGGAAGUCUCAACGCCAGUUGGGAUGGAGCCGCCGUUGAAAUACCACUCUUCUCUGUCUUUGGCUCUAACCCCGGAUAGGCCGGGGGACCGUGUCUGGUGGGCAGUUUGACUGGGGCGGUCGCCUCCCAAAAGGUAACGGAGGCGCCCAAAGGUCCCCUCAAGGUGGAUGGAAAUCACCUGCAGAGUGUAUUGGCAUAAGGGGGCUUGACUGCGAGACCAACAAGUCGAGCAGGGACGAAAGUCGGGCAAAGUGAUCCUACGGUCCCGUGUGGAAGGGCCGUGGCUUAUCGGACAAAAGCUACCCCGGGGAUAACAGACUAAUCUCGCCCAAGAGUUCACAUCGACGGCGAGGUUUGGCACCUCGAUGUCGGCUCGUCGCAUCCUGGGGCUGAAGAAGGUCCCAAGGGUCCGGCUGUUCGCCGGUUAAAGCGGCACGCGAGCUGGGUUCAGAACGUCGUGAGACAGUUCGGUCUCUAUCCGUCGCGGGCGCAGGAGAUUUGAGGGAGGCUCUCCCUAGUACGAGAGGACCGGGAGGGACAGACCUCUGGUGUGCCGGUUGUCCCGCCAGGGGCACCGCCGGGUAGCCACGUCUGGAGUGGAUAAGCGCUGAAAGCAUAUAAGCGCGAAGCCCUGCCCAAGACCAGAUCUCCCAUCCGCCGAAAGGCGGAGUAAGGCCACAGGUAGACUACCUGUUUGAUAGGCCGCAGGUGUAAGUCUCGUAAGGGAUUGAGCCUAGCGGUACUAAUCGGCCGAGGACUUGACCCA